rnacentral:rRNA from 1 species
CUGGCUCAGGAUGAACGCUGGCGGCGUGCCUAAUACAUGCAAGUCGAACGAACCACUUCGGUGGUUAGUGGCGAACGGGUGAGUAACACGUAGAUAACCUGCCUAAAACUCGAGGAUAACACCGGGAAACUGGUGCUAAUACUGGAUAGGAUGUAAGGAUGAUUUUCUUACAUUUAAAGAUUAAUCGGUUUUAGAGGG